AGCAGCCGCCGCGGGAAAACGUAGGUGGCAAGCGUUGUCCGGAUUUAUUGGGCGUAAAGCGAGCGCAGGCGGUCAAUUAAGUCUGAUGUGAAAGCCCCCGGCUCAACCGGGGAGGGUCAUUGGAAACUGGUUGACUUGAGUGCAGAAGAGGAGAGUGGAAUUCCAUGUGUAGCGGUGAAAUGCGUAGAUAUAUGGAGGAACACCAGUGGCGAAGGCGACUCUCUGGUCUGCAACUGACGCUGAGGCUCGAAAGCGUGGGUAGCAAACAGGAUUAGAUACCCGUGUAGUCCCUGUCUCUUAUAC
rnacentral:rRNA from 1 species